UUUACUGCUUUUAUAUACAAUCUUUCCACUGAAGUCUUUCCUCAUCUAUGCUCACACACAAUUUCACAACCUUGGUAAUCGGCGUGGUUGGUCUAUUGUGUCAAGGGCACCUUAGUACACCAAAACAACGAUAAAGUUAUGCAAUGAUAUCAACAGUAGAACUACCUCAAAGUCAUUGUGCUCUCCAAGAAACCCAAAGCUUAAUGCAUUUUCAUUUACUGCAUGUCUCAUCACUACAUGUUAUGCAGUUGUUCUGCAGCAUAUGCACAGUAGUAUUGCCUCUAAUGUUUGUGCUUGCUAAGAAACCCAAAAAAUAACGUAUUUCAAUUUCACUGCAAAUUCUGUCAUCUCCUUUAUAUCUUUUUUUCCUGGAGGUCCUCACUGCUCUCUGCAUUUUACUGUGUACAAUGGAUAAUGUAAUGUAGCUAAUUAGCUAUGUUCACGUGGCAAGAUGAGAACAAGAUAAACGAGAUGCUAUCAAGUGUUUCAAUUCUGAAUCUGGGUAACCAACACAUGAUAGAAUCUUGGUGCAGGCGGGACUUGGAGAGAGGUUUUGCUGGUCUAGGUGCUAGGUUUCAGUUUGUAGCCUUUUGGGCUGUCGAUGAUCUUUCAUCAUUUAUUAUACUACCGUUCCAUUUCUAAAGGACAUUCUUCAUUAUUUGAUAUUUAGAUGGUUUAGCAAAGAACUAGGGGAGUAAUUUGAGUGUUCUAAUCGGCAGGUAUUUAGGUUGCUGAGAUAUAAUGCUCUACAAAAACUAAAACACAAAUUGAUGGAUCUGUGAAGUUAAAGACAGCUCUGUAAGGCAUAAUUUAGGAUCUUCAGGAUUUUGUGUUUUUCAUUUGAGAGAUAUUAGAUCAGCGUGCUUGUAUUAGAUGAUAAGUGACAGAGAAAGGAUUGAGAGGUUGGAUGGAUGGGGUUUGGCUUUGCUCAAG
rnacentral:lncRNA from 1 species